UGAAAUCCUGAGCCUCAAGUGAUCCUCCCACCUUGGUCUCCCAAAGUGCUGGGAUUAUGGUUGUGAGCCACCUGCCUGGCCUUGCUUUUUUAAGAGAAAAAAACACAAGUGUCUCUUUUUCCUUUGAGGUGUUCUACUGGGAUUGAGGUAUUUCUCCAGAAAGGGCUAGAUCCCAUCUUUCCCUGUGGCAGUCUCCCUGUGUAGGUACAAAAGCGUAUGCAGAGGCACUAAUGUGGGUGAUGGUUCUUCAAACAUGUGCCCAAAAUGAUCUACCACAGGAAUCCUGGCUUUCUUGUUUGGUUUGGAUGGGCACAAAGUGGACCAUCAUCUUCUGAAACCAGCUUUUCACUCUACAGUGGACAUUCUGACUGACACUGAUGUCUGCCCAGCCCAUAGGUAUUUCCCUUCCCUUGUGGCUAUCAGGGAGACCCAGAUUCUGUCCAGGUGGGGGCUGUGGUGUACUUUGAGAUGGCAUGCCUAAGCAAGGCAUAGGAAAUUCUGCUCCCCUCUACAGGGACUGGUUCAGGGGUGCUGCAUGUUCAACAGCUUCUUAGAGGCUGCCUCUUGGGGACUUCUGGAAAAGAUUUCCCACCAUGAUAAAAAGACUGCACAAAAACCCCCCUAUACUUCCUUGUCAAGUGGGGAUGUGAAAGCUGGAGCUGCUACCGUCAUCUGCUCAUAAGGGGAAGGCCAAAGAAAUCUGGUGAGAAGCUGACCUGGCGCCCUGAUGCUGUGGAGCUACUGAAGCAAUGAGGUAAUAAUGGCCAACCUCUGGGCCUUUCAUGUUUCUUACAUAACCAAGGGUGCUGAAGCCACUUUUAAUCAGGUGUUCUGUUAUUUGUAGCUGAAAGGUUCUUGCUGCUUCUUCCCGAUUUAAAAGGCAGCUCUCUGAGGAAGAACAAGAACUGUAUUCCUCACCCCCUGCAAGAGACAACUACUCACCUGAAAUUGGUUCCUGCAUGUUUUUAUACUUUUACUACUUGGGAUCAUUUUGCCUACCAUGUUGAAAGUAGUAGAACGAAGAGGGCAAGGGUAUAGGAGGCGUAGCUAAGGAACUGAGCCUCCAGAUUAGAAGAGAUCACCAAGGAAUAAAUAAGAAGCAGACAAAGAAUGAAAAGACAAAGGGCCAAAUUCCAAGGCAUUCAAUGUUAAGAGGUAGAGAGAGAGGGAGGAAUGAGCAAGAACAACUCAGAUGUA